rnacentral:rRNA from 2 species
AACGAACGCUGGCGGCAGGCCUAACACAUGCAAGUCGAGCGAGGUAGCAAUACCUAGCGGCGGACGGGUGAGUAACGCGUGGGAACGUACCCUUUGCUACGGAAUAGCCCCGGGAAACUGGGAGUAAUACCGUAUGUGCUCUUUCAUUGUAGUGAUGGGGGAGGAAAGAUUUAUCGGCAAGGGAUCGGCCCGCGUUGGAUUAGGUAGUUGGUGGGGUAAUGGCCUACCAAGCCGACGAUCCAUAGCUGGUUUGAGAGGAUGAUCAGCCACACUGGGACUGAGACACGGCCCAGACUCCUACGGGAGGCAGCAGUGGGGAAUCUUAGACAAUGGGCGCAAGCCUGAUCUAGCCAUGCCGCGUGAUCGAUGAAGGCCUUAGGGUUGUAAAGAUCUUUCAGGGGGGAAGAUAAUGACUGUACCCCCAGAAGAAGCCCCGGCUAACUCCGUG